rnacentral:rRNA from 1 species
AUGAAGGUCCUAUGGAUUGUAAACUUCUUUUGAACGGGAGAAAACCUUUGGUCGUGUACCGAAGCUGAUAGUACCGUUAGAAUAAGGGUCGGCUAACUUCGUGC